GGUGUUGUGUUGGGGCCGUGAGUGUGGCUGGUGUAGGUGGACACAGGCGGCCGCUACACCCUCUCUUACACUCACAUAAUUCACCCCUUUAUUAACACCUUAUUACCUCGGCUGUAUUAAAUAAUCACAACAUCAUCCCGGACAAUAAUUCUCUAUAAUCAGUAAUUAAUGUUACCGACUUGUAUUGUGGAUAAUUAUAACUAUUACACAUAAUUACGGCUGAAAUUUUAAAACCCUUGACCGUGAAACUACAAAAAACUAGACGAAGAAAAUAAAACUAAAACACAAAUUGGACAAACUUAAGAGAGAAAUAAAUCGUGUAAAAACAAAAUUAAAUCGAGAAAGUAAAUUUAAGAUGUUUCCCAAGCGACGAAAUUAUGAGACUUGAGAAGAAGUGAUUAUUGUGUGUAACUGUGUAAUAACUAAAGGCACAGGUGGUGUGUGUGUGUGUGGGGACCUCGUACACAUAUACAUACACAAUAUAUAUAUAUACAUACAUACAUACACACGGACAGUCAGCAUCACUACACGCAGCAAGAUAUUGGCAUCGUGAACAGCUGAUGCGAAAACUCGAUUUAUAAGGAAAGUUUCGCAAAGUUACAUCGAAGUAGAGUGACCUGUGUUGGUUGACGACCUCCACGCCUCGCCUGUCGAACACACUCUCACCAGCACUAUACAGACCCAUAACUAGUGGCAUUUAUCUCCCUAUUUACCACGUAGAUUAACUGUAUUAACAUAAUCUAAGCUGUAUAUAAUGAGUUCAGUGAUCGGAUGUGUGUGCACGUAUUAAACUGGCAUUAAUCUGGCGAAAUAAAAACACAGAUGCAAUCACUUACGCUUAAAUAAACAAAUAAUUAACAGUUUAAGUAUAUUGUAAGUAGCUUAAGUACAUCAUAAGUAACAGUUUAAAUAUAUAUAUAUAUAAAUAUUAUUAGUUGUGAAAUAUUACUGAUAAAGGGAUUUAUUUAUUAAGUUAUAACACCAAGAUAAAAGUGAACAAAGUAUUUAAUUACACAGAAAAAAUAUUUAACAACAACAAAACGAAAAACUCAGAAAAAUAAUAAAAAACAAGAACGAAGUGAAGUGGAAAUAUAUCCCCUUCCUCUGUUUUUUUUU